ACUUUGCUCUGUUUUUACUGUAUAGCAUAGGAAUAUGGAAUGAAUGGAAUAAUUUGCAGAGAUAUUAAAGAGUUUUACCAGGGAUAGGUCACUGGCUCCAAUUGACUCUACCUGACCAGGACAACAAAACUAAGUACAAAUAUCAUUGUUUAUCAGACAGUAUACACAAAUGAAUAUUUACUUUAAAAGCUUGCUUUCAACUUGUGUAUUUGCCAUAUUUGUUACUAUCUAGGGGUCUUUACCAUGUUCAUUUUCCUGUCAGUUAGAGAAGUAAAAGGAAGAAAAAUAGCUCAACAGGUAGCAGAAGAGAACAUGAGCAAACAAAUAAAUCACCCACUAAGCAGACAAAUUCACCUUCAAUUAUAUGGUUGGUGUUGAGUCACUGAAGGGUCUCCCUCUUCUAACUGAGGAUUGGUUGGUUUGAAGAAAGAUAAAAUGACUGACUGGGCCACAACUGUUAAGCAAACAUGGUCUGAUUUGACCCCAAAGUUUUCAACCAGUCCAUCAGCAGGGGCUUACUGGCAGAAGAAAAAGCCUCCCGGAAUUUUCUUUUAAUCUGACAGGAUUUUGUCUCAGUCAGGAAGGAGAGGAAGAAUCCCAGAAGUUUACCACCUUUAUUAUUUAUAUAUUGCCCCUCUCUUUAUCUGUCUGCCUCUCAGGGAAUCUAUGUAAUGCCUACUCUCUCACCUUCAGCAAAACAUACACAUGCAUUAUUUGAGGCAGGGGUAUAGAAGGGUACAUACUUUAAGAUUACAGCUAUGUGCUGGGUGUGGUGGCGCACGCCUUUAAUCCCAGCACUUGGGAGGCAGAGGCAGGCAGAUCUCUGUGAGUUCGAGGCCAGCCUGGGCUACCAAGUAAGCUCCAGGAAAGGCGCAAAGCUACACAGAGAAACCCUGUCUCGAAAAAAAAAACAAAAAACAAAAAACAAAAAAAAAAAAGAUUACAGCUAUGCAUUAUCUUAGUUUGUAAAAUUUGAUUAUGUGGGAAGUUCAAGGUAAAUACAGUUGUUGUUACAUUGUUCCCUUAUAGUCAGGUUAAACAAGCAGGCUGCAUAUAUAGUAGAACAGCAGUCUUAAGCUUUAAGUGAUGUCAAGUUGUAUUAUUAAUCCUGGAUUGGAGAUUCAACAAAUGUUCCAGUCUCUUAGAAUUUAAGAGAUUUUUUUCAUAAUGUAUUACCACAUCAAAUAUUAUGAAUGCAGAUAAAAAAGGACAUCUAUCAAAUAAGGAUCCUAACAAAAUGGCCUUCAAUCAAACCAAGAAUGGUCCAAGAUCCUCAGAAAGAACUCACCUGAAAAAAUAACAUCAGAUGGCUGGGAUUCAUUGGGUCCAUGCAGGACAUUUUCUUCUUCCUUAAGACUCCCUAGAUGAGAACUAUGUGUUGAGACUGAUGAAAAUGUUCUUCUUCAUUGUUGUGAUGAAGAGAAGUUUGACUCUCCUGAGAUAUAGCUUGCCUGAACAUUAGAGUCCUCAGAAGGAUGGCUAGAGAACAUCACUCUUAAUAGUAGGUUAGAGAGUUAUGGGAGCAUUAUGAAGUUCAACUGUCAAAGAAUGAUUUAUGAAGACCUACUCCAGGAAUUUCUUCAGAUAAUGACUAAGAGCAAGAAAUAUCUGAAAGAAGACUCCUCAGACCAAAAUCUCUUCACCAUAUAUUAUACAAAAGCCAUACUCUGAAGAUGAUACCAGCUGUGAUAAGGUGGAAACAUAAUAGAUGGUGCCAUCUCUUCUACCAGCAGAUUCACCAAGACAGUCUUCACUAUACAUGCUGAUGCCUCUUUCCUGUGUAGCAGCAGACACCACCUGCAGAUAAGAAAUGCUUAACUGAGAAAUGCUCAUGUUGGGAUAUCAUCGAUGAAACUUUAAUUUGGGCAUGGUGACUGUUUCCCUUGCUGCCACUUGACUCAAUCCCAGGAGCCUCAGUAGAGGAAAUAAUAUUGCAUGAGAAGCUCAAAAUGGUGGAAAUAUUCAGUGCUCCUAUAAAUAUACACUGCUAAUUUUAAAAAUACGAGAUAUUAAAAAAGAACUGCAUGAUUUAAAAAAAAAAACCUCAAAGUAUACUUAUAUGAUACAUAAAUUAUGGGCCUUCUCUCUUUCAAGAGAAUUGAAAUUUUCCUACAGUUUCCCCCCAUUAAGGAAGGGUUAUACAUGCUCUUAAGCAGAUAAAUAUAUGCAAAAAUGCGCACACUUUCUGGGGGAACUUCUAGCAGUGGGGCCAUAUUCUUAUGCAAAUUGCUACUUUUAUUUAAGAGUCUUUUUGAUGAGCUUUUCUAUUUCAGUACUACAUUAAUAUCUAUGUCAUUUUUUGAAUGACUGCAUGACUGCUUUGUAGAUGAAAUAGAAUUAAAUGUUUUAAGCAUUGCCCAUUCAUAGACAUUUAUGUAGAUGCCAAAUUUCUGUGCAAUGAACUUCCAUAUAUAUAUAUAUAUGUAUAUACAUAUAUAUGUUCAUAUAUAUGUAUAUUCACACAUACAUAUAUUAUCAAUAAUUCUGUAUUUGUCUCCUCUAUUACAGUAAAAUCACCUAGUACUUAAAUUAUUAAAAUUAAGAAUAUAUUAACACUUAAUUUUUUUUAAUUAUCACAAUUCCUUUUAAAUGUGCUCAAUAGCUUUCUCUUCAAUGGCAAUGCCUUAGAAUACCAUCCUCAUAAUCCACAUACAAUGGAUUUUACAAAUAUUUGAAAUCUCUUCCAAUGUGUUAGUCCAACCUAUUGUCUUAAAUUGUAUUUAUUUUAUUUUUGAGUUUGAUCAUUUUCAUGUUUAUUAGCCAUCUGUAUUUUUUGAUUUCUUCUUUAUGUCAAAGUUUGAGAGUAUGUGGAGGUUUUAGUCUCUUUUAAAAAUCAUAUUUACAACUGGGGAAAAUAAGAUUUUGGAUUGUCAAACAUUACAUGUUUUUCACACUUUUGAACUUUGUUUUGUUAUAAGAAUGUGUAUAAUUGUUACAUGUCCAACUAUAACCAUGUUUGCUUUUAUGGCUUCUGAGUUUCAUGUCAUUUUUGAAAAAAAAAAUAUUCUGAGCCCAUAAAGCCCCUCUCCUUUGUUAAUCCUAAUUCUUUUGUGUUUUUUAAUUCAAAUUCUAUGUCAUGAAAAGUAUUUUGUUUUAAAAUCUUAAAGUUGCAAGUUACUUGCCAUUACUUAUGAUUAUUUGCCAAUAAUUGCCCAUUUAUCUGUAAUGCCAUCUCGCACAUGUGCUGUAUUCAUCUGUGAAUGGCUCCAUUUUUGUUCUGUGGGUACGUGUGUCUCUUCUUCCGCCUCCUGUCUCAUGUGUCUUCUUGUUGGAAGAAAUUACAGUUUAGACUGCAAUUUCAUCAACCUUAAUAAAUUAAUUUGGGGAAACUGUUUUUAAAUAAUAUUGUCUUCAUAAUUAAGGACAAGGUAUGUCUCUUUUAUUAAACAUUUGAUUACUGUUUAUAUUUUCACCAUGAUGUUGGGUUUUUCUUUUCUUUUACUUGCUUGUUCAUUUUUAUGUAUCUGAAACUUUUGUUUUGUUUUAUUUUGUUUUUUAGAUUUUGUUUUGUCUGGGGAGGUUAAGUGGCCACGUUACUAGUGAUUGUUUUCAGAAUGUACCCCAAAUUCUUUGCAAAUAUUGAUUUUCCUCCUCCCAAUUGAUAUUGAUUUUGGUUAUUUUGAUAAAAUUCCCCCGGACUGGUACUUUCAGAGCACUUAAAAAUUUUGUGGAAAUAUUACUCACACUUGAUUCAAAUGAUAUUUAACAAGUGCUUCUUAGGUUGAAUAGCACAUUGCUGCUGGUCUAUGCUUCCAAAAGACCACCUGAAAGAGCUAUGAUCAAGCAAAGUUGAGUUUAUUAAACUUACUGCAGCAAGGGAAAACACCACCUUAACAGGGUUUAAUAGUGGUUGAAAGACAAAAAAUGAAGGGCCUUUGGAUCUGGGUUUCUAUGGUUUAAAACACAGACAUGAUUAUGAAUGCAUAGUUCAGCAUGCGAUACUUUAAAAUGAAUGGGGGUGUGGUGAGAUUCUUAAUGUGCUUCUUGAUAAUCAAACUGUUAUCUAAGUGAGCUAUUUCUCUUAAUAGAUAUUUAUAAUGACAGAAGAGCUAUUGCCUAUGAGAGAAAUAGAAUUUAUCAGUUUAUAGUUCUGUCUUGCUAAGCAGGACUUACUAGGGUUGGUAUCAGGUCUUAUUCCCAAAAGGUAAGUUAUUUUUUUUAAUGUGAGUGGUUUUAAGUGUCAAUGUAAGAUUAUAGCUUUUAACUCUGAGAUAUUUGGUAUAUUCUGUUAGAAAAGUCUUCCUUCCACGUUUUAUAUUUUUCUAAAGAAUUUGAAUCAAACCUAGGUGGAAGAUGUAAUUGUUCCUUUUUACCCAAAUAAUUGUACUAUUCUUUUUUGAAUUAUUAAUUGCUGUACAAUAUUAUUUUUCAAUUUUUAGAAAUCCUUUUAUACCAUGAGUGAGCAUACUCUUGUUUUGCUUAAUUCUUUUUAUUUACUACUGAGCUAUAGACACUUAAAUUUGAUUUGAAAUUUUUGAGUGUAUAUGAUUAUAUGAAAUCACUUUUCCAUUGACUUUUCUUUUCUACUUUGGUGUUAGCACUUCUGAUUAUGUUUAAACAAUGUAGAGAAUUUUCUUUAUGAUGCUCAAUGAGUUGGUACCAUGAUUACUUGAGCACAUCAGUGAAAUCAGCUGCUGUACAGUGGUUGUCCAUGUAAAUAAGACUGUAUAGUUUUGCUCCCAUCUUACUAGUUAUUGUUCAUUUCAUAUCUGGUGUCUUCUGUUUAACACUUUUCUCAUAGAGGAUCACAGUGCACACAGACUUUCUAUCACACUAUUUAAACUGUGCCUUUUUAAAGGAGCAAGUUACAAAAUGGGUUUUUAGAAUUGCCAGGUUUUUCCCUCUCUUCCACAAUCAAGAUUUUAGCAUUGUUUUUAAGUUUAUAAAAAGUCCAUAUAUGUGUG